rnacentral:lncRNA from 1 species
ACUGACUAGGCUAUCUAAAAUAAACCAACACACAAAUAUGCUUUCUUUAUAUUCCCUUAACCUGCUUUAUUUUCUUUAUGGUAACUACAUUCUUCUUCUUUUUUUUUUUUUUGCAUAUUCAUUGUCUCUUCCACUGGCACAGAGGCUUCAUGAGGGAAGGAGAGCAGUUUGUGAAGAAAAUUGGUGGUAUUUUUGCCUUCAAGGUGAAAGAUGGCCCUAGGGGUGAAGAAGCCACCUGGGUGGUGGACAUGAUGACCAGAAGGACCUGUGCUCCCUAACUCAGGCCUUCUUUCAAGGCAGAUUGAAAAUCACUGGCAACAUGAAUCUGGCUCUGAAGUGACAAAAUCUCCAGCUUCAGCCGCAGGCAAAGCUAAGCUGUAAAGAACUCCCUUUGCCUACCUUUGAAAAUCAAGUUGAGAUAUAUAGAUAUACAUAUAUUUCAUUGUCAGAACUUAGAUUGAAACUACACAUUGGGAAAUAGCAUGAAGUUUGUUUUUCAAUGGGUGUGACCAAUCUUGUUUUUCCUAAGCCCUGGGUGAACAGAGCCUGAUGGUUUACUACUGCUUUGCUGAAUUGCAUUCAACUGUGCAUUGCAAAGUUAAUAUGGUAAUUAUGGUUUGGGGUGAAAUUGAAUUUUAGAAUAAAAUUAGGAAUAGCAAAAUCCA